rnacentral:rRNA from 1 species
GGUUCGAUCGCCCGAAAGCUCAGAUUGAACGCUGGCGGGAGAUGCUGCAUGCAAGUCGAACGACCUGGACUUCAGUCUGGUGGCGAGUGGCGAACGGGUGAGUAAUGUAUCGGAACGUGCUAGUAGCGGGGGAUAACUACGCGGGCGUAUUCAAUACCGCAUACACGCCCUUCGAAGCAGGGGACCUUCGGGCCUCGCUAUUAGAGCGGCCGAUAUCCGGAUUAGCUGGUUGGUGGGGUAACAGCUCACCGAGCGAUCCGUGGCUGGUUUGAAGGUUGACCAGCCACCUGGGACUGAGACACGGCCCAGACUCUACGGGGGCAGCAGUGGGGAAUUACUACGGACGGUGGAAACACAGUCCAGCCAUCCGCGUGUGCGACAGUGGCUGACCGAGUUUGUAAAAAGCACUUUUGGCAGGAAAAGCGGCACGGGAUAAUACCCGUGCAACUGACGGUGCCUGCAGAAUGUACCGGCUAACUACGUGCAGCUUCUUAUGACCAAUACGUAGGGUGCAAGCGUUAAUCAGAUUACUGGGCGUAAAGCGUGCGCGAGCGGUUCGGAAAGAAAAGAUGUGAAAUCCCAGAGCUUAACUUUGGAACUGCGUGCACUACCGAGCUGAGUGUGUCAGAGGAGGGUGGAGAUUCCGCGUGUAGCGGUGAAAUGCGUAGAUAUGCGGAGGAACACAAGAUGGCGAAGAGCAGCCUCACAGGAUAACAGGCGCUCAUGCACGAAAGCGUGGGGAGCAAACAGGAUUAGAUACCUGGUGAUCCACGCCUAAACGAUGUCAAUAGCUGUUGGGGCCUUCGGGCCUUGGUAGCGCAACUAACGUGAAGUUGACCGCCUGGGGAGUACGGUCGCAAGAUUAAAACUCAAAGGUGACGGGGACCCGCACAAGCGGUGGAUGAUGAUGUGGAUUAAUUCGAUGCAACGCGAAAAACCUUACCUACCCUUGACAUGUCUGGAAUCCCGAAGAGAUUUGGGAGUGCUCGCAAGAGAACCGGAACACAGGUGCUGCAUGGCUGUCGUCCAGCUCAUUGUCGUGAGACCAUUGGGUUAAGUCCCGCAACGAGCGCAACCCUUGUCGUGCUUAGUUGCUACAAAAGAGACGCACUCUAAUGAGACUGCCGGUGACAAACCGGAGGAAGGUGGGGAUGACGUCAAGUCCUCAUGGCCCUUAUGGGGUAGGGCUUCACACGUCAUGACUGGUCGGGACAGAGGUCGCCAGCCCGCGAGGGGGCCGUCCAGAAACCCGAUCGUAGUCCGGAUCGCAGUCUGCAACUCGACUGCGUGAAGUCGGAAUCGCUGGUAAUCGCGGAUCAGCAUGUCAUGAUGAAUACGUUCCGAGUCUUGUACACACCGCCCAUCACCUACAUGGGAGUGGGUUUGCAGAAGUAGUUAGCCUAACCGUAAGGGCGAUUACCACGGUAGGAUUCAUGACUGGGGUGAAGUCGUAACAAGGUAA